UGCCAUAGCACUUUAAGCAGUUGCGGAAAUUGUCAGACGUCUGCUUCAACAUGAGGUAUUAUUCGACUUUUCAGGAUUGUUGUUGUUAGUAGC
ensembl:miRNA